CCCAUCCUUUCUGUCUUUCCAUCAUUACUCUUGAGCAGGGGGCAAAAACAAACACGCAAAUCAAGAAUGGAGUGAUUCAUUCUUCUUCAGGAAGGAAAGCAGGAGAGAGACCUGGGCCCUGACCUUCCUUCGUCACCAUCAGCUUGUGACAUCUUCUCAGGCCAGCCCUAGCCAACUCUGUGACUGUUUCCACAGGUGUCGAUGUUGGCAUCAUGUCUAACUUCUGCUGCUUCCCAAGGUCGCCAUGAUCAUCUCAUUAGUGAGCAGAUGUAAAGUAUUUGUAAAAAGGCAUCAUACAAAAACAAAGUUCAUUGUUAUUCAUCCUUUUCCUUCCCAAAUACACUAGACUUCUUUAAAACAUUAAAGCAAAGUGAGGCCAAGCUGUUUACUUGUUUAACCUAAUAUGAAGGGCCACUGCAAAGCCUGAGGCUCAAAGGUAAGAUUCACAGCCAGGUGCA
rnacentral:lncRNA from 1 species